rnacentral:lncRNA from 1 species
ACUUAAUUGCUGCCUAGAGCUCAUAGAAGGAUCUCACAGCACUGCUCCAGGGCACUGAAGCUUACAGUGAAAGCACAUUUUCAGCAAGUACUGAAGAUUGUCUCCACGUUGGCUGGUUUGAAACUGUGAUCUUUUGAAUGUAAUCCAGGAAAGGAAUGGAAAGGAAAGAAGUGCUCAGAAAGCUCCCAGAAGCAUUUUGGCACUCACCAAAGCAGCCGGAAGAUGAAUAACACAGUGGGGAUAGAUGGCUAACAAGAAGCCCCUCUCCGGAUGCCGGCCCCUCUUGGACUUCCCAGCUUCCAGAAUUGUGUAUGUUUAAGCUCAGGCUGGAAAAGGAUCACUGAAAGUCACUUGGAUGGUGUCUCGUGUGUCUGUGAUGAGCUUGCUGUUGCUUUCUUUCUCCUUGACAGAUGAGAAAACAGUGGCUUCAAAGGUUAAACAACUUGUCUUCGAUUGCACAGCUAACAAGAGAUACUGUUAUAUGUGCUCAUGUAAAUUGUCUGGCAAUUAGCUGCAAGAGGAUUGUAGGAAGAGAUUCUACCUAUCCAUCUCUUUACACCAUGCCUUCUGAAGAGAAGAUUUUCGGAGAGAAUCCUUGGAUUUAGUCAGGAAUAUUAGAUCCCUAAAUAAAAAUGUCUAAAAUCCUU